rnacentral:snRNA from 1 species
AUACAUAUGUAGCAGGUGUGAUUCCAUGGUCACAAAAGUGGUCUCCCCAGGGCAAAAUGUAUCCAUUGCAUUCCUGAUGGGCUGAUCUUUGAGAUUUCCCCAGAUGUAGAGAACUCAACUGCAUAUUUGGAGGGGGGUGGGUAGAGAAAGGGAGAAAGCAUAGCUAGUGCCCAG